rnacentral:tRNA from 1 species
GUAUAGCUUGGUGGUAAAGCACAUGCCUAGCAUGCAUGAGGUCAUGGGUUUGAUCCCCAGUAC